rnacentral:rRNA from 2 species
AGAGUUUGAUCCUGGCUCAGGACGAACGCUGGCGGCACGCUUAACACAUGCAAGUCGAACGAGAGAAGAGAAGCUUGCUUUUCUGAUCUAGUGGCGGACGGGUGAGUAACACGUGAGCAAUCUGCCUUUCAGAGGGGGAUACCGAUUGGAAACGAUCGUUAAUACCGCAUAAUAUAAUUGAACCGCAUGAUUUGAUUAUCAAAGAUUUAUCGCUGAAAGAUGAGCUCGCGUCUGAUUAGCUAGUUGGUAAGGUAACGGCUUACCAAGGCGACGAUCAGUAGCCGGACUGAGAGGUUGAUCGGCCACAUUGGGACUGAGACACGGCCCAGACUCCUACGGGAGGCAGCAGUGGGGAAUAUUGCACAAUGGAGGAAACUCUGAUGCAGCGAUGCCGCGUGAGGGAAGAAGGUUUUAGGAUUGUAAACCUCUGUCUUCAGGGACGAAAAAAGACGGUACCUGAGGAGGAAGCUCCGGCUAACUACGUGCCAGCAGCCGCGGUAAUACGUAGGGAGCGAGCGUUGUCCGGAAUUACUGGGUGUAAAGGGAGCGUAGGCGGGAUCGCAAGUCAGAUGUGAAAACUAUGGGCUUAACCCAUAAACUGCAUUUGAAACUGUGGUUCUUGAGUGAAGUAGAGGUAAGCGGAAUUCCUAGUGUAGCGGUGAAAUGCGUAGAUAUUAGGAGGAACACCAGUGGCGAAGGCGGCUUACUGGACGAUAACUGACGCUGAGGCUCGAAAGCGUGGGGAGCAAACAGGAUUAGAUACCCUGGUAGUCCACGCCGUAAACGAUGAUUACUAGGUGUGGGGGGACUGACCCCUUCCGUGCCGCAGCAAACGCAAUAAGUAAUCCACCUGGGGAGUACGACCGCAAGGUUGAAACUCAAAGGAAU